GACGAACGCUGGCGGCGUGCCUAAUACAUGCAAGUCGAGCGAAGUUUUUCUGGUGCUUGCACUAGAAAAAAUUAGCGGCGAACGGGUGAGUAACACGUAAAGAACCUGCCUCAUAGACUGGGACAACUAUUGGAAACGAUAGCUAAUACCGGAUAACAGUAUUUCUCGCAUGAGAGAUAUUUAAAAGUUGGUUAUGCUAACACUAUGAGAUGGCUUUGCGGUGCAUUAGCUAGUUGGUGGGGUAAAGGCCCACCAAGGCGACGAUGCAUAGCCGACCUGAGAGGGUGAUCGGCCACACUGGGACUGAGACACGGCCCAGACUCCUACGGGAGGCAGCAGUAGGGAAUCUUCCGCAAUGGGCGAAAGCCUGACGGAGCAACGCCGCGUGAGUGAAGAAGGAUUUCGGUUCGUAAAGCUCUGUUGUUAGGGAAGAAUGGAUAUGUAGUAACUAUACAUGUAAGAGACGGUACCUAACCAGAAAGCCACGGCUAACUACGUG
rnacentral:rRNA from 1 species